GAGACCUCAGGUCAGGCGGGGCU
rnacentral:ncRNA from 3 species